rnacentral:rRNA from 1 species
AUUGAACGCUGGCGGCAUGCUUUACACAUGCAAGUCGAACGGGUGUAGCAAUACACUAGUGGCGAACGGGUGAGUAAUGCAUCGGAACGUACCGUGUAAUGGGGGAUAACCCGGCGAAAGUCGGAUUAAUACCGCAUACGUCCUGAGGGAGAAGGCAGGGGAUCGUAAGACCUUGCGUUAUACGAGCGGCCGAUGUCGGAUGAGCUAGUUGGUGGGGUAAAGGCCCACCAAGGCGACGAUCCGUAGCGGGUCUGAGAGGAUGAUCCGACACACCGGGGCUGCGACGCGGCCCAGACGCCUACGGGAGGCAGCAGUGGGGAAUUUUGGACAAUGGGCGAAAGCCUGAUCCAGCCAUGCCGCGUGAGUGAAGAAGGCCUUCGGGUUGUAAAGCUCUUUUGUCCGGGAGCAAACCUUAGUACUUAAUACGUGCUGAGCUGAGAGUACCGGAAGAAUAAGCACCGGCUAACUACGUGCCAGCCGCCGCGGUAA